GUCCCCCUCGUCUAGUCCGGCCAAGGACACCGGUUUCUCGAGCCGGUGACACAGGUUCAAAUCCUGUGGGGGACG
rnacentral:tRNA from 1 species